UACGGGGGGAGCAAGCGUUGUUCGGAUUUACUGGGCGUAAAGGGCGCGUAGGCGGCGCAACAAGUCACUUGUGAAAUCUCCGGGCUUAACCCGGAGCGGUCAAGUGAUACUGUCGUGCUAGAGUGCGGAAGGGGCAACUGGAAUUCUCGGUGUAGCGGUGAAAUGCGUAGAUAUCGAGAGGAACACCUGCGGCGAAGGCGGGUUGCUGGGCCGACACUGACGCUGAGGCGCGAAAGCUAGGGGAGCGAACGGG
rnacentral:rRNA from 1 species